GCUGGCUGCAACUGUUUAUUAAAAACACAGCACUCUGCAAACACGAAAGUGGACGUAUAGGGUGUGAUGCCUGCCCGGUGCUGGAAGGUUAAUUGAUGGUGUAAUCGCAAGAGAAGCACCUGAUCGAAGCCCCAGUAAACGGCGGCCGUAACUAUAACGGUCCUAAGGUAGCGAAAUUCCUUGUCGGGUAAGUUCCGACCUGCACGAAUGGCAUAAUGAUGGCCAGGCUGUCUCCACCCGAGACUCAGUGAAAUUGAAAUCGCCGUGAAGAUGCGGUGUACCCGCGGCUAGACGGAAAGACCCCGUGAACCUUUACUAUAGCUUGACACUGAACAUUGAAUUUUGAUGUGUAGGAUAGGUGGGAGCCUUUGAAGCAGUGACGCCAGUCAUUGUGGAGGCGAGCUUGAAAUACCACCCUUUAACGUUUGAUGUUCUAACGAAGAUGACGAAACGUGGUCUCGGACAGUGUCUGGUGGGUAGUUUGACUGGGGCGGUCUCCUCCCAAAGCGUAACGGAGGAGCACGAAGGUUUGCUAAUCACGGUCGGACAUCGUGAGGUUAGUGCAAUGGUAUAAGCAAGCUUAACUGCGAGACAGACAAGUCGAGCAGGUACGAAAGUAGGUCAUAGUGAUCCGGUGGUUCUGAAUGGAAGGGCCAUCGCUCAACGGAUAAAAGGUACUCCGGGGAUAACAGGCUGAUACCGCCCAAGAGUUCAUAUCGACGGCGGUGUUUGGCACCUCGAUGUCGGCUCAUCACAUCCUGGGGCUGAAGUAGGUCCCAAGGGUAUGGCUGUUCGCCAUUUAAAGUGGUACGCGAGCUGGGUUUAGAACGUCGUGAGACAGUUCGGUCCCUAUCUGCCGUGGGCGUAGGAGAAUUGGUUGGGGCUGCUCCUAGUACGAGAGGACCGGAGUGGACGCACCACUGGUGUUCCGGUUGUGUCGCCAGACGCAUUGCCGGGUAGCUAAGUGCGGAAGAGAUAAGUGCUGAAAGCAUCUAAGCACGAAACUUGCCAAGAGAUGAGUUCUCCCAAUCUAAGAGAUAGUAAGGGUUGUUGUAGACUACGACGUAGAUAGGUCUGGUGUGUAAGUGUAGUGAUACAUUGAGCUAACAGAUACUAAUUGCCCGAGAGGCUUAACUAUACAACGCUCAAG
rnacentral:rRNA from 1 species